rnacentral:rRNA from 1 species
AAUGGGCGAGAGCCUGAACCAGCCAAGUCGCGUGAAGGAAGAAGGAUCUAUGGUUCGUAAACUUCUUUUGCAGGGGAAUAAAGUGCAGGACGUGUCCUGUUUUGUAUGUACCCUGAGAAUAAGGAUCGGCUAACUCCGUGCCAGCAGCCGCGGUAAUACGGAGGAUCCAAGCGUUAUCCGGAUUUAUUGGGUUUAAAGGGAGCGUAGGUUGACAUAUAAGUCAGCUGUGAAAGUUUACGGCUCAACCGUGAAAUUGCAGUUGAUACUGUAUGUCUUGAGUGUACAAGAGGUGGGCGGAAUUCGUGGUGUAGCGGUGAAAUGCUUAGAUAUCACGAAGAACUCCAAUUGCGAGGGCAGCUCACUGGGGUACAACUGACACUGAGGCUCGAAAGUGUGGGUAUCAAA